rnacentral:rRNA from 1 species
GUCGAACGGGAAAGCGGGGGCAACUCCGCGAGUAUAGUGGCAGACGGGUGAGUAACACGUGAACAAUCUACCCUUGAGUGGGGAAUAACCCCGCGAAAGCGGGGCUAAUACCGCAUAACAUCCCUGAGUCGCAUGACACAGGGAUCAAAGGCUCCGGUCGCUCAAGGAGGAGUUCGCGGCUGAUUAGCUAGUUGGUGAGGUAACGGCCCACCAAGGCAACGAUCAGUAGCCGGCCUGAGAGGGCGGUCGGUCACACUGACACUGACAUACGGGUCAGACUCCUACGGGAGGCAGCAGUCGGGAAUUUUGGGCAAUGGGCGAAAGCCUGACCCAGCAACGCCGCGUGAAGGAUGAAAUCCCUCGGGAUGUAAACUUCGCAAGAACAGGAAGAAUAAGUAGGGGACAAUACCCCCUAUGAUGACGGUACUGUUUGUAAGCUCCGGCUAACUCCGUGCCAGCAGCCGCGGUAAUACGGGGGGAGCAAGCGUUGUUCGGAUUUACUGGGCGUAAAGGGCGCGUAGGCGGCCACUGCAAAUCGGUUGUGAAAUCUCCGGGCUUAACCCGGAAAGGUCAAUCGAUACUGCAGGGCUAGAGUGCAGAAGGGGCAACUGGAAUUCUCGGUGUAGCGGUGAAAUGCGUAGAUAUCGAGAGGAACACUGCGGCGAAGGCGGGUUGCUGGGCUGACACUGACGCUGAAGCGCGAAAGCUAGGGGAGCGAACGGGAUUAGAUACCCCGGUAGUCCUAGC